rnacentral:rRNA from 1 species
UACGAAGGGGGCUAGCGUUGCUCGGAAUUACUGGGCGUAAAGCGCACGUAGGCGGCUUCUUAAGUCGGUGGUGAAAUCCUGGAGCUCAACUCCAGAACUGCCUUCGAUACUGGGAAGCUCGAGUCCGGGAGAGGUGAGUGGAACUGCGAGUGUAGAGGUGAAAUUCGUAGAUAUUCGCAAGAACACCAGUGGCGAAGGCGGCUCACUGGCCCGGUACUGACGCUGAGGUGGCGAAAGCGUGGGGA